rnacentral:rRNA from 1 species
GCAUAUCAAUAAGCGGAGGAAAAGAAAAUAACAAUGAUUCCCUCAGUAACGGCGAGCGAAGAGGGAUAAGCUCAAAUUUUAAAUCUGUUGGGUUCCACUUAACAGAGUUGUAUUUUGAAGAAACGUUUUCUGCAUCCAGGAUUAGCCUAAAUCCUUUGGGAUAAGGUAUCAUGGAGGGUGAGAAUCCCGUUCAUGGUUAAUCUUAAGGAAGCUCUACGAUACGUUUUCCAAGAGUCGAGGUGUUUGGGAUUGCAGCUCAAAAUGGGAGGUAAAUUUCUCCUAAGGCUAAAUAUUGGCGAGAGACCGAUAGCGAACAAGUACCGUGAGGGAAAGAUGAAAAGAACUUUGAAAAGAGAGUUAAACAGUACGUGAAAUUGUUGAAAGGGAAACGAUUGAAGUCAGUCAUACCAACGGGAAAUCAACCUUUCGAGCUUGGUCUCGUGGGUUUUGAAGAGUUUCAAAGCCUUCGGAUUCGCGGGAUUGGGAUCUCUUGGUGUACUUUUUUGUACGGUUAGUCAACAUCGGUUUUGAAUGUCAUAAAAUGACUGGAGGAAUGUAGCUUCGAUCUCGUAUUGAAGUGUUAUAGCCUUUGGUAGAUGUGAUGUUUGAGACCGAGGAUUGCAACGGAUACCCUUCAGGGCUAUUCGUCUGAUCUCUGAUACGUUGCCUUGAUGUUGAAAGCUUGCUUAUGAUGUUAGGGUAUUACGGUCAAAAGGUUAGAACGAAUUACAUUCGUUAAGGAUGUUGACGUAAUGGCUUUAAACGAC